rnacentral:rRNA from 1 species
GUCCUACGGGGGGCAGCAGUGGGGAAUAUUGGACAAUGGGCGAAAGCCUGAUCCAGCAAUGCCGCGUGAGUGAUGAAGGCCUUAGGGUUGUAAAGCUCUUUUACCAGGGAUGAUAAUGACAGUACCUGGAGAAUAAGCUCCGGCUAACUCCGUGCCAGCAGCCGCGGUAAUACGGAGGGAGCUAGCGUUGUUCGGAAUUACUGGGCGUAAAGCGCACGUAGGCGGCGAUUCAAGUCAGAGGUGAAAGCCCGGGGCUCAACCCCGGAACUGCCUUUGAAACUAGAUUGCUAGAAUCCUGGAGAGGCGAGUGGAAUUCCGAGUGUAGAGGUGAAAUUCGUAGAUAUUCGGAAGAACACCAGUGGCGAAGGCGACUCGCUGGACAGGUAUUGACGCUGAGGUGCGAAAGCGUGGGGAGCAAACAGGAUUAGAUACCCCGGUAGUC